GGCCUACCAUGGUGGUAACGGGUAACGGGGUGUUAGGGCACGACACCGGAGAGGGAGCCUGAGAAACGGCUACCACAUCCAAGGAUGGCAGCAGGCGCGCAAAUUACCCAAUCCCGACACGGGGAGGUAGUGACAAUAAAUAACAAUACGGGGUUCUUUCGGAUCUCGUAAUUGGAAUGAGUACAAUUUAAAUCUCUUAACGAGGAACAAUUGGAGGGCAAGUCUGGUGCCAGCAGCCGCGGUAAUUCCAGCUCCAAUAGCGUAUAUUAAAGUUGUUGCAGUUAAAAAGCUCGUAGUUGAAUUUCGGGGUCAGCAGGUUGGUCGUGCCAAUGGUAUGCACUGGCCUUGCUGAUUCCUCCCUCUUGAUGAGCCGUAAUGUCAUUAAUUUGGUGUUGCGGGGAAUCAGGACUGUUACUUUGAAAAAAUUAGAGUGUUUAAAGCAGGCAAGCGCUUGAAUACAUUAGCAUGGAAUAAUGAAAUAGGACGUUUGAUCCUAUUUUGUUGGUUUCUAGGAUUGACGUAAUGAUUAAUAGGGAUAGUUGGGGGCAUUAGUAUUCAAUUGUCAGAGGUGAAAUUCUUGGAUUUAUUGAAGACUAACUACUGCGAAAGCAUUUGCCAAGGAUGUUUUCAUUAAUCAAGAACGAAAGUUAGGGGAUCGAAGACGAUCAGAUACCGUCGUAGUCUUAACCAUAAACUAUGCCGACUAGGGAUCGGAUGAUGUUAAUUUUUUAAUGACUCAUUCGGCGCCUUACG
rnacentral:rRNA from 1 species